AAAUUGAAGAGUUUGAUCAUGGCUCAGAUUGAACGCUGGCGGCAGGCCUAACACAUGCAAGUCGAACGGUAACAGGAAGCAGCUUGCUGCUUCGCUGACGAGUGGCGGACGGGUGAGUAAUGUCUGGGAAACUGCCUGAUGGAGGGGGAUAACUACUGGAAACGGUAGCUAAUACCGCAUAACGUCGCAAGACCAAAGAGGGG
rnacentral:rRNA from 1 species